rnacentral:lncRNA from 1 species
CCAACCCGUCCCAGCUGGUGCACAGUGUAGGCUGGACUCACCCCAAUGCCGGUGCUGGUGGAAUCCAGUAAUACUCUAUCAGCAGACUUUAAUUCAAGAACCAUUGGUGGCUAAACUCAAAAGAAAGCACAUCAUUAAUAACUUCAAUUUUCUAAUUAGCCACCGCCCUACCUCUUGAAUUCAGCAAAGACAAUCCUCAGUAAUUAUUUCAAUAUUUUUAUUCUACGUACAAGCGUGUGCACAAAUCAUUUUAAUUAUUAAAGGUAGAUGAAUGCAUACACAUGCAGAGCACUCAAAAAGCUGCCAGAUCGAUGAACGAUGUAUGCUGACAUAAUAGCUCACAGAAUUCAAUUACUGAGGAUUGGGUG